GGCCCGAUAGCCAAGUGGUAAGGCAUGGGUCUGCAAAACCCUUAUACGCGGGUUCGAUUCCCGCUCGGGCCUUCA
rnacentral:tRNA from 1 species